rnacentral:lncRNA from 1 species
CGAUCCAACCAACCCUCAAAGAUUCGCACCGCGCGGCACGCACCCAGCAGGUUCCAGCGUAAAAGCUGCUCCGGUCCCAAGCGCGUCUCCAAACCCCUCCUUUACAGCGCCGCCUCCCCAGCCAGCCCCGGUGCGCAGUGGCGAACAGCCCGCAGAGCCCCCAGGCUUACCUGUAGCAUGUGGUGAGCUCGCCUGAAGACUUCAGACACGGGUCCACGUGUGUCCCAACGCCAGGAGCAGCAGCAGCGGACCCAGGCUCCUGCCCAGCUGGCCCCUGGCAGCUCCUCCCCGGCUCGGAGGCGGCGGCACCAUCAGGGAAGCUCCCGGCUUCUUCCCAGCGCCGAGCUCCGUCCGGACCAAGCGUCCUGCUCCUCCGCGGCCG